rnacentral:rRNA from 1 species
CCUACGGGAGGCAGCAGUGGGGGAUAUUGCACAAUGGGGGAAACCCUGAUGCAGCGACGUCGCGUGGGCGAAGAAGUAUCUCGGUAUGUUAAGCCCUAUCAGCAGGGAAGUAGAAAUGACGGUACCUGAGUAAGAAGCACCGGCUAAAUACGGGCCAGCAGCUGCGGUAAUACGUAAGGUGCAAGCGUUAUCCGGAUUUACUGGGUGUAAAGGGAGCGCAGGCGGGAAGGCAAGCCUGAUGUGAAAGCCCGCGGCUCAACCGCGGAACUGCAUUGGAAACUACCGGGCUGGAGUGCCGGUGAGGUAGGCGGAAUUCGUAGUGUAGCGGUGAAAUGCGUAGAUAUCAGGAGGAACGCCGAUGGCGAAGGCAGCCUACUGGACGGUGACUGACGCUGAGGCUCGAAAGUGUGGGGAGCAAACAGGAUUAGAUACCCCAGUAGUC